CUUCUCUCCUCCUCCCCUUCUCUCCUCCUCCUCCUCCUCCCGUGUUCCAGUUCUUUCCUCCACGUCCCCACUCGACGCAGCGGAACAAACUGAGCAGCGUGAAUGGUUUGAAGUGCGUCCCUCACCCAGCCACGUCAUCAUGGGGUUCUACAGAGAACACGUGGUACUUCCACUCUUUCUCUGUGUACACGUCUUAUUCUGUGUGUGUCUGUGUGUGUGUGUGUCUGUGUGUGUGUGUGAGUGAGCGCCUCCUGUCUCAUCUCAGCCCAGUGCUUCAUACUGGGUGUGAGUGCAGACCAGAGGCAGAGCAGGGCAGUGGCUUUACCCAUUCCACCCUCAGCUGCAGCGUGGCUCUGUGGUGGAAGAGAUCCCUGCUACACGUGGCUCCCGGGCCGCUGGUUCGAUUCCUCUAAGAGCAACACUGUGCAACUUGUUCACCUUGAGUCAGCAACUUGAUUAAAACCAGUUCAGCAGCUUGAUUAAAACCAGUUUGAUGUUUGGGUGUGAACAUGGAGCGUCUGUUCUGUGACUCUGCUGAGUGGGUUCGAUCUCCUGUGAGAAGAACUGACUGAGAGUCACAGCUUCAACCGUCACAAUCAGCUGCACUUGAAGAGUGAAGCUGAACUGAGGAUCAGUUAAAAACACUCUGAAGUUAUUAAAAACCAGAGUUUAUCUCCGAUAUUCAGCAGGAAACUGUUAAAACACGAAGAAUUCAAUUUGUGUAUUUGCUACAGCCGCAGCUCUCCUGGUUCAGGAAGCAGGGGAUCAUGGGUAAUAUCCAGUGACACAGUCAGAGCUCCAGCCAACAAGCUCAGACACGAAGGUCAACAGAAUUAAUCCCCCUGUGUUGCGACAGGGGGCGCUGUUACUCAGUAGAAGUUCCACAGUGUUGCUUUGAAGUGUUUAAAAUAAGUACAACAUAUUGUGCACAUCUGCUUUGAUCUUUUCACAUACAGAACCCCACAGACUCGCUAGUUAUCAAUGUGCAUGUUUACAUAUGAGAAACUUUACAUAUAGACUCUGUUCACACACGUUCUGCAGCUGUCAGAGGCGUUUGUCAUGUUUUAAAACAGAAUCAGACGAAACACCAACAAGGGGAAGAUGGUGCGAUAACACUAAGACUGUAAUGAUAAUAAUAAUGCUAAUAUCUGCCUCCAUCUUCUUCACCUCUUCUCUCUCUGCUCCAUCAUCACGUCCUGCAGGGUCCAGCAUGGGAGAGACUGACCACUAGAUGGCGCCCAACAGCAGGAAGAUAAGAGAUGUCGUCACCGGUUCACUUGUUUGAUCUUUUCCACCAAAUUGUUCAAACACAAAUAUCUUCAUUAUCACCUGAUCGGGAUAUUUUCACAGGUGAUGAGAUUUAAAGUGUAACAAUGAAAAUGUACAUUUGUGAAUAAAGAGAUUUCACUUUUAAAAACUUGAACUUUCAAAUGUUUUGUGUCACGUGUAGAAUGUUUCUUGAGCUUUGACCUCAGCUUAAAAACAAAUAAAGAAAUAUAUUAAAUAUUA